rnacentral:rRNA from 1 species
AAUCAACGCUGGCGGCGUGCCUAACACAUGCAAGUCGAACGAGAAAGAGGGGGCAACUCCUCGAGUAAAGUGGCGACCGGGUGAGUAACACGUGACUAACCUACCCUUGAGUGGGGAAUAACCUUCCGAAAGGAGGGCUAAUACCGCAUAACAUCGCGAGGCGAGAUUCCUUGUGAUCAAAGGAGCAAUUCGCUUAAGGAGGGGGUCGCGGCUGAUUAGCUAGUUGGUGAGGUAACGGCUCACCAAGGCGAUGAUCAGUAUCCGGCCUGAGAGGGCGCACGGACACACUGGAACUGAAACACGGUCCAGACUCCUACGGGAGGCAGCAGUGGGGAAUGUUGCGCAAUGGGGGAAACCCUGACGCAGCAACGCCGCGUGGAGGAUGAAGGUCUUUGGAUUGUAAACUCCUUUCGAUCGGGACGAUUAUGACGGUACCGGAAGAAGAAGCACCGGCUAACUCUGUGCCAGCAGCCGCAGUAAUAC